UACGGGGGGAGCAAGCGUUGUUCGGAUUUACUGGGCGUAAAGGGCGCGUAGGCGGUCAGCACAAGUCAGUUGUGAAAUCUCCGGGCUUAACUCGGAAAGGUCAACUGAUACUGUGCGACUAGAGUGCAGAAGGGGCAACUGGAAUUCUCGGUGUAGCGGUGAAAUGCGUAGAUAUCAGGAGGAACACCGGUGGCGAAGGCGGGUCUCUGGGCCAAUACUGACGCUGAGGAGCGAAAGCGUGGGGAGCGAACAGG
rnacentral:rRNA from 1 species